rnacentral:lncRNA from 1 species
UAAUAAAAAUGUAUUUAUUUAUGAAAAAUUAUUUGUAAUUGCAUAUUUUCACGGCCAACGUAAUAAACUUUUACUUAUUGUUUGUUGCAAUUAAUUUGUGCUUAAUUUUU